rnacentral:lncRNA from 1 species
UAAAUGUUACAUAAAUUUAUCGUAUACUCAUCAUAUAGUCAAGCAAGGUACCCUUAAUAAUCAGUAUAUCGACUCAUGAUACACUAGUACAUCAUUUGAUACGUAUCGAAGGGUUCGGUGUCGAACACUUAAGAUUGAAAAUACUAAAUCCUAAAAUUUUAUCAUUUUUAUCGAAACCUUUCAUUUUACUCGAAUUAUAUGGAAAUUUCUUGAAAAUUGGUUCCUGCAAGGAUGAACUCAAUCAUGUCAACAUAUCCAUCUAAAAUAUGAACAGCAGCCAUUCAUAUUUAUAUUCUAAGUAGGCAUCCAUAAACCGAGAUAGAUUUGUGGCCACAUCUAAUUCACAUAUUGUGUUCUCAUAAGAUGCAUAUAUUCCACUUCAUCUUCUCUUCCUCAUCAUUUUGCUUGAUGAUUGACUCAGGUGUUACAAUGGUGUGGAUCGAUGCUACGCUUCAUGGAAGGAGGAGAACAUACAAGACAGGCCAAGAGGAGGAUGACAGAGGAGACGGCGUCCUCCUCCCCGCCGGAGCAGCUCCUCUUGAACCGGCAAGGCUUCCCCUUGUUGCACUGCAGCCUCGCCUCCGCCUCGCCGUCUUGUGGCCUCUUCUUCUUCUUCUUCUUCUUCUUCUGCAUGAGCUCCUGCGCUCCGAGCCUUCCGCACUGCUCCACUUUGUACACCAUGAGCCACUCUUCCUUCUUGGAUGAGGAAAACUAAGCUGGUGAUGCAUCAGAAACACGUUCUGUGGUUCUCUUUAUAGAGAAAGCCACAAGGACAGUGAAGAUUCUUCCGGUUUCAAUCACGUUAAUGUCUUGUCAGUCAAAACACAAAUCCAUUAUCGAGCUCUGAGAUGGUUAAGUUGUCGAUAUAGAUUCUGAGAUGUCUGGAGUCCCUACAAAAUGGUCUUAUCUUCACCAUCUUCCUAUGUUGUAUGCAAAACAUGUAUGCAUCAAUGUAUUAUUAUUUCCUAAAGGAAAUCAAUUAGUUGUCCUAAUCUCAACUCC